UACGUAGGGUGCAAGCGUUGUCCGGAAUCAUUGGGCGUAAAGGGCGUGUAGGCGGCCCGGUAAGUCCGCUGUGAAAGUCCAGGGCUCAACCCUGGAAUGCCGGUUGAUACUGUCGGGCUCGAGUCCGGAAGAGGCGAGUGGAAUUCCUGGUGUAGCGGUGAAAUGCGCAGAUAUCAGGAGGAACACCGAUGGCGAAGGCAGCUCGCUGGGACGGUACUGACGCUGAGGCGCGAAAGCGUGGGGAGCAAACAGG
rnacentral:rRNA from 1 species